rnacentral:rRNA from 1 species
GAUGAACGCUGGCGGCGUGCCUAAUACAUGCAAGUCGAGCGAACGGACGAGAAGCUUGCUUCUCUGAUGUUAGCGGCGGACGGGUGAGUAACACGUGGAUAACCUACCUAUAAGACUGGGAUAACUUCGGGAAACCGGAGCUAAUACCGGAUAAUAUUUUGAACCGCAUGGUUCAAAAGUGAAAGACGGUCUUGCUGUCACUUAUAGAUGGAUCCGCGCUGCAUUAGCUAGUUGGUAAGGUAACGGCUUACCAAGGCAACGAUGCAUAGCCGACCUGAGAGGGGGGUAGCCACAACGGGACAGGGGACAGGGACAAAAGUACUAGGGGGGGAGGAAGAGGGGAUUGUUCGGAAAGGGGGAAAAGCCGGAGGAAGAAACGCGGGGGGAGGGAGAAAGGUGUUGGAAUAGAAAAACUGUGUUAUAGGGGAAAAAAAUAUGUGAAAGAAAUGGGGAAAAUCUUGAGGGAACAUAAUAAAAAAGCCACGGAAAACAAGGUG